GGACAUUUUAUGUAAAGUCUACCUUUUAAUCACUUCAUGAAGGAAACACCCAGAGCCAAUUUAUCAAGGGAACCAGAAAGAAAUCCAGGAUAAAGUAAACCCUGAGUGUAACAUCAUAAGACUUUUGGAUGCUAUAUUUUCAAC
rnacentral:lncRNA from 1 species